GAUGAAGAACGUAGCGAAAUGCGAUAAGUAAUGUGAAUUGCAGAAUUCAGUGAAUCAUCGAAUCUUUGAACGCACCUUGCGCUCCUUGGUAUUCCGAGGAGCAUGCCUGUUUGAGUGUCAUUAAAUUCUCAACCUUUCCAGCUUUUGCGAGUUUGGAUUGGCUUGGAUGUGGAGGUUUGCAGGCUUCUCAGAAGUCAGCUCCUCUUAAAUGCAUUAGCGGAACAAUUUGUUGACCGUUCAUUGGUGUGAUAAAAAUAUCUACGCUAUUGACGUCAGUCAGUUCAGCUUCUAACAGUCCAUUGACUUGGACAAAUUUUUCAUUAAUGUGACCUCAAAUCAGGUAGGACUACCCGCUGAACUUAAGCAUAUCAAUAAGCGGAGGA
rnacentral:misc_RNA from 1 species